CUUUUCAUCGAGUCUGCCAUGUUUUGUCCUACUUGUCGCGCUUGAUCAACGCGUUCGCGAUUUCUGUUGUAAACUAUUAUUUUACUGAAUGUUUCACAGGCUGUGUUUUGUUUACAAAUAGUGUAGUUAAUGACUAUAAUUACUCUAAUGAAACGUGUUAUCUAUCAAUCGCUUUUGAUAUUGAUGUAUAAUGGUGUAGUUCGCAUUUCAUAAAAAUUUGAAAAUGUUCACAAGCCUGCUAUUGCAGCCGUGAACAGAGAGAUUCCGUCACGAUUUUGAAAUCGCUACAAAUAAUUCGGUAUAGUGUUAUUAAAGUAAGUUCGAUACUGUGACGCAACCCACGUGCACAUAAUUUACCAAGCAUCUCAUGCACAUUUGUUAUUAUUUUGUUCGCGGCCCGCGAGUUCGAUUCGAGCCCGCAAGGAUCGGAUCGAAGAAGGGAAAUCGUGUCGUCCGUCUUGCUCUUUCCCGUCGCGGCGCGUUCGGUUGCAUUCAUUCAUUUUCAUAAACCGAAAUAGAUUUUUUGGUGUAGUGCAAUAGUUGUUGUUGUGUGGGUCCUUGGGUGCAGAGGGUGCCGAGUGCGCUCGGUGUCGGUGCCCACGUGACGCGGCCGAGUGUUUGGGUGGCGGGCUGGUACGCGCCAGUCGCAGUGCGGAGCGGCGGAGGUGGAUCGUGUUUACCCGCGAGUGCAGCUUCGAGUGCGUGCGGAAGUGCGGAGGCAUGUGCGGAUGACACCGCCGUCCGAUGAGACGGCGCCUUGAGCCAGUGUACGAGUGCUAAAUAUUAUGUUCCUUGGGUUAUGAGUGUGUGACAAAGUUGUAGUGUACUGAGGACACUGGAGCCCCUAGACGGAGUUGGGCCCGCUGGGGCGGCCCUGGUGCUUCUCGGGGCUCCGCACGAAGGCAAAAUGGCAGCGUGGAACCGCCAUCACCACUUCAACAUGCUCAUGGACGAGAAUGCCAAAAAUAAAUUGGGCGUGGUGGGCGGCGGCAUGCCGGAGGCCGCGGGCGGCGAGCGGCGCCAUGUCCCUCUGUACGGGAGGCUGGUGGCCGAGGACCAGCUGGCCUCCAUGAGCGCGCCCUCCGACAUUCAGGUGAGCGCCCCCGCGCGCAACCCAAGAGCUUUCUGCCGCUACCCUAGCCGCGCACAGGCUAUGCAAGCCCGAAUACCACACCAUUUUCGGGACCCCUCAACAGCGCCGUUAAGAAAACUAAGCGUGGAUCUCAUCAAAACCUACAAACACAUAAACGAGGUGUACUACGCGAAGAAAAAACGGAGAGCGCAACAGUACCUCGGCGACGAUGGCUCACACAAAAAGGAACGGAAGCUCUACAACGACGGCUACGACGACGACAACCACGACUAUAUCAUCAAACAGGGCGAAAAGUUCCUCGACCGGUACGAGAUCUCGUCGCCGAUCGGCAAAGGCUCGUUUGGACAGGUUGUGAAAGCGUACGACCACGAGGAGCAGUGUCAAGUAGCGAUAAAAAUUAUUAAAAAUAAGAAACCUUUCCUAAAUCAGGCACAAAUAGAAGUCAAGUUACUAGAAAUGAUGAACAGAGCAGAUGCUGAAAAUAAGUAUUAUAUAGUAAAACUGAAACGUCACUUCAUGUGGCGGAACCACCUGUGCCUAGUGUUCGAGCUGCUGUCCUACAACCUGUACGACCUGCUGCGGAACACCAACUUCCGCGGCGUGUCGCUCAACCUCACGAGGAAGUUUGCGCAGCAGCUGUGCACAGCGUUACUGUUCCUUAGUCAACCUGAACUAAAUAUAAUUCACUGUGAUCUUAAGCCUGAAAAUAUUUUAUUAUGCAACCCCAAGAGGUCAGCCAUCAAGAUUGUGGACUUCGGGAGCUCAUGUCAACUAGGUCAAAGGAUAUACCAGUACAUCCAGUCAAGGUUCUACCGGUCGCCGGAGGUCCUGCUCGGCAUCCCCUACGACCUGGCGAUCGACAUGUGGUCGCUGGGCUGCAUACUGGUGGAGAUGCACACGGGCGAGCCGCUGUUCAGCGGCGCCAACGAGCUGGACCAGAUGAACAAGAUCGUCGAAGUGCUGGGCAUGCCGCCGGACCAUUUGCUAGAUCAGGCACACAAAACCAGAAAGUUCUUCGACAAAUUACCAGCGUCAGAAGGCGGUGGUUACGUCCUAAAGAAAGUUGCCGGCAAGGACGGCGGCUACAGGAAGUACCGCGCCUCGGGCACGCGGCGACUGCACGACAUACUGGGCGUGGAGGGCGGCGGGCCGGCGGCGAGGCGGCGCGGCGAGCCCGGACACUCCGUCUCCGACUACCUCAAGUUUAAGGACCUAAUCCUGCGCAUGUUGGAAUACGACCCCAAGCAGCGCGUGACGCCGUACUAUGCUCUGCAGCACAACUUCUUCAAGCGCACCGCGGACGAGGCGACCAACACGCAGCAGGCGCAGUCACACCACCAACACGAUGGCCCGGACUCGCGAUGACUAGAGCGCUCGGGCGGCCCCCCCUCGCGACACUAACGCCGCCUAGUGCCUAACAUUGUACGCCAGUGGGCGCACGGCUGUGGGGCGGCGCCGAGCGCAUGGAGGUGGAGGCGGUGCGGCGCGACGACGACUUGCUGCAGCCCGUGUGCCAGCUGCAGCACUCGCCCGUCGCCAUCCACUAGCGCCCCGCCCCGCGCGCCCGCACCAGGCGCCGCAAGCCGCGCCCGCAGUGACGCACGCGGGGAGCGCACGCACGCAGCGACGCCCGCGGGCAGCGCACGCACGCACUGACGCGCACGCACGCAGUGACGCGCACGCACGCAGUGACGGACUCGAGUGCGCCGCGCCCGCACCGUCGGACGCAGUGAGUGAGUGAUGGUUGUGUGUGCCGAACGUGGACAUUCGGCGAGCCGGGGCGGAACUGUCUUAGUAUAAUUACUUGCUCCAUAAUCAGAGACGAUUAGAGUUAAUCGAACGCUCUUUUUAGUAUUUCGUAAGGCGGAAGACGGACGCGAGUCGGUUAGUGUAAUAAGUAAAGUUAAAUCACUCUAUAUUUAGAGGAACGGUGUAGAUCCACGCGUCGGCUACCGGCGGUAGAGGAGUAAUCGAUAGCAGCGGGGGACACCACGGCGUCGGAAUAGUACAAUAUGUGGCAACACUUGCGGACUGAAUCCAAUAUUUAUAAUUCUAUAUUUUUAUUUAAUGCGAUAAGUCUGAUUGUAAAAAAAAAAUGUAAUAGUUAUGACGGCGAUUCGUCGCGGCGUUUGUAACAGCAUUGUAAUGUAUUACUCGCUUGUCGACCAGUACUUAGAGCCGCCCGCCGCGAUGCCGAUGGCAUGAAAGCUAGGUUUUUUUAUUGUUACGCAAUGCAUAUCAAGGACGCAAUAUGGUAGAAAAUAAAAUAUUGUACAUAAUUAUUGUUUAGGUGACCGACUAAUAAUGGAUACAGACUGCAACUUCAACUGGUAAUAAUAUUAUAUAGUUCAGAUACGUCUAUGCUAUAGUUAAGCUUUCGUUCGGUUACUUAUCGCAAGCUUUAUAUUUAAAAAAAAAAAUUAAGUGUCGGCAACUGAUGACUGAGAAAUCAAAGGGCCAAAACUGAAUUUCGUUUUAUCGAUUCAACUGAAUAAAAAAAUAGAUUAAAGUAAUGAAAAAAUUGAAAUAUUUUUUGAGUGCACCGAAUUGAUUGGAUAUUCGAUCAAAGAAAUCUAAAUGAUAUAGGAGAAUGACUUUGAUUCACAUAUAUGUUUCAUAUGUACGAUUUAUUUUUCAUUUCUAAUAGACUAAAUUAAUAUCGUGAAGUUUCAUAACAAUUAAAUAAUUAAUAAACAGCUCAGUUCACUAGAUUUGUCUGAAUGUUAUAGUUAAGUUUUAUUAAGGCUAACCAAUGUAAAUUGUAACCAUGACUGGUUUCUAAACUUGUCAGGCAUAUUCCGACAAAUCUGUGCUGUUUAUUUUUAACCGACUUCCAAAACGGAGGAGGUUCUACGUUCGGCUGUAUGUGAUUCUUUUUUCUUUGUUAUGACAAUAGUAAGUAUAUUAAUUUGUAAAUAAGUUUUUUUUUUGACAAACAGACGUUAGAAAGUACGAUUGACAUGUAUGUAUAAGAUAUACAUGAGGUUUUAAGGAUUUGUUGUUUAGAUUUCUCUGCAUCUAACACUUCCAGUCGAUGGAAUAAUUUGAAACUUUGCCCUCGCAUUUCAGAGUUGUUGUAUAUUGUAAAUGUUUUUUUUUUCGUUUCCAAUCUCGAAUGCGCGAGAUUUGAGAUUCUGUACAACACUACACGCGUGCCGUGUACUACAAUAUAUAUAUAUAGGUUAUUUUUGACCCAUCGGAUUAUUCAGACGAUAUGUAAAACAAAGAGUAGUCGUAUAGGUAAUUCUAUACUAAUGAUAUUAAAAAAAAAACACAAAAUGUACUUGUAGGUUACGGGAAUGUUGAAUCAUAUAUAUGAUAUAUAUAUAUUUAUAAGUACAGGGUGCUCGGGAGUAUUUCCCAUAACUCUGGGGUUAUAUACUUUACCGAAAAUUUAUUUAUAAAGUUCAUGUGUUCUAAAAUUAAUAUUUUCGGGGUAAAUAAUUUUUAUUUUGUAAAUAGAUUAUAAAAUGUGUCUCUUAUAUGCAUCCUUAUAAUUAUGACGUAGCCAAGUUUGACGUAUUUUAAAAUGCAAGAACACAUCUUUGUCAUUAUUUGAAUUACUUUGUAUGUAAACAUAAAAGUUUUUAUUUUUCAAUUAAAAAAAUAUUAGUUAUACAGUUCGGUUCCUAUAAAUGGACUCGUCAACACCUUGAAGUUACGGGAAACACUCCCGAGCAUCCUGUAUAUAUUAAAAAAUUUUUUGGGUAUUUCAGAUAGGAGUUAAAUAAAUUAAAAAAAAAACUGACUCGUUCAACCUUUUUGGAUUUGAAUCUACAAUAGACUAACCUCAUUGCAACAGACUGGUCGUAACUUUGUAAUGGAGAUAUUUUGUAUAGCGUACACUGAAUCACUGCCUUAUUGUGCCGGAACUGUCGGGCGGCCGGCCGCCGCGCGCCGCCGCACCAACGCAUCGCACUCAUCGUUUGUAUCAUAUUAUAUACAGUAUCGUGUAAGUGCAGGGACUCGGUAGGGUAAGAGGGGGCAAUAGCGAUCACUGAGCAAUGGCGCUCACCUUUGUCACUUGUUCGAAAUGGGGAUGAUGAUGUUUUUUUUUUCUAUUUAAAUUGUAUAUAAAUUAGGAGUGUGCUAAUAAUAAAGCAAUUUUGUAAAAGUAACAGGGUAUCUGCGAUCAUUACUUUCGGAGCUACAGGGAUUUAAAGGGUCAGAUUUGGAUCUCUGAAAAAUGCCCCAUACAAAAUGGUACGAAUGAAUGACGUCGUAGGUACAUAAUAAUCGUUAUAUUUGUAUGGGCGGUCAUACAAAAUUGCUAAUAUCUUUGUUAUUUGUGCGUUUAAAUAGUUCAUUUAUUAAAAAAUGUCACAUUUAAUGUAAGGAAGCUAAAAUUGUAUUAAUUUUCAUCUAAUUACGAUAAAAGAUUUUUAAUAGAUUUUGAAAUUUUAUAAUCUUAUUUAUUUUGCAAAUAUCCAGACAAUCUUUGCUUUUUAUGUAUAAAUUAGUUAACAUUGACCGUAUGUAUCAUAAAAAUCAAUAUAUUCCAACCUAGUCAUCAUCCCCAUUGAACAUAGCAAAACACCGCGUCCUGUAAACUGAAACAGGGUAUUCAAAAGGCAGAGCCACGUUUUGGGCAGUCAGCUCAUGGCGUGCGAUCGUGAAGUGCAUUUGUUUAUUUACGGUUGUUUUGAUCUAAUAUAUGGUCCGGUGUUUUCGACGAUUAGUCCAAGCUUUUAACACUUGAUUAAUAAUUGAUGGAAACUGCAAAGAAUUUGAAUACAAUAACUCAUAAAACUCUUGCUUUGUAAUAAAUAAAUAUAUUUUGAAAACAUGUUUAAGCGUCUACUCCUUACCGUAAGUGGCAUUAUCCAAAACCAGGGGUAAUGGUGCACAAAUCUGAUAUAUUUGUAAUAUUUUCUGAUGGUCAAUGAUAAAUACGUUUGGUGUCACCGAGUUGAUUAAUAAAUUUAAAAAAUUUUGAAGUUAAAUUAAUACUUUAAAAAAACAGAGCGCUUUUCCCUUAAGUGAACGCUAUUCCCCCUCUUACCCUACAAACGGACACGUCGUCCGACAUAAUGUCUAUAUUGUUAUUUUGUAAAGUGGCGAGAGAUUGUAUAUUAGAUUUCGCUCGGGCCGCGGUAUCGUAGCUUUUGUAUAGUUCGCUAUAGACGCUGCGGGCGACGGCGCGCGGCUUGUCGGGCCUCGGGCCCCGGCGACUCCACGCGGGCCGGCCCGAUGUAGUUAAUUAUAUUUUUUUUCGAUUGUGUAUAUAGUACGAGAUCCGGCAUACGGAAUGUAUACCCUCAUCUGUUAUUUAUUUGCGAUAAGAAAUAAAAGAUAGAAAAUACUCACAUUGACACAUUGCUAAUUGUAGGUGGAAUUGCGCGCCCGGCGAGUGUUAAAAGAUUUUUUUUUUAAUUCAUUUAAUCUGCAAUUUUUUAUUUAUUCACUUCCCUCUUUGCUUAAUUAAUAAAAAUCGUACACUACAAUAUACCUAACAGACGUAUCGCCAAGCGUCGUGUAGAAACCAAAAGGGGUGUGGAUUUUCAUCCUCCUCCUAACAAGUUAGCCCGCUUCCAUCUUAGAUUGUAUCAUCACUUACCAUCAGGUGAGAUUGUAGUCAAGGGCUAACUUGUAAAAUAAUAAAAACAAUAACAGAAUCGAAAACGUAAAGGUUGCCUGCAAAGUUAAUAAACGUUACACGAAUACCCUCAUUAGGAGUCUAAUAUGUCAAAUUAAAGUUUAUUUUUAUGCUUAAUUUUACUAUAUUAAAUUGUCUUUGAUUUACUUUGUGGUUUCCUAGAUUUUGUAUAAAAAAUUGUUUAACCACAAUUUACCUAGGCAACCUAUUUGCAAUGUGUCAAUAUGAAUAUUUUGUAUAAUUUAUUUGUCAUCCCAAAUAAAUAACAGAUGAGGGUGUAUAUUCCUUACGCCGGCUCUCAGACCAAUAGUUCGAGCCCGACUGAAUGCGCCGCCUCGCGUGGAGGCCCGGGGACGAACAUUGCAACUGAAAGCAGAUUUUUUUGUGCUGCAGAAUGUUGCCGUGAUUUUUUAUAAUAAUAAUUAAAUAAAAAAAUAAACUCCCCCUUUACCCUACCCCCCCUACCCCCCCCGAGAAAGUUAUUUUAAAAUUAAAACGAGUUUGUAUGGUAACGAUUAUUUUUCACACAUGAAGCAUGAAAGUAUUCUCGUCUCAAAUUGCGUUCUAUAGCUCGGUAAGUGCUGUUUAGCUGUUUUUUAUCUAAUCUAUUUAUUGUUUUCAUUGUAGAUUUGAAUCUAUUUCUAAUCUCUCUGGUCUGAAGAUAUUAAAUUUUUCGAAUAUCUGUAUAAAUAUUUACCUGUAUUUUAAAAUACUUUUUUGCUUCAUGAAGUUAUAGGAUUGUUAGAGAUGUAAGAAAUAGGUAUGGGAAAACAUGUUUUUCGUUUGAUUCUAGGGAUGUGAACAAAUUAUGUCAGCGGGUUUCCGAAAAUUCCGAAAUUUCCGAACUGUCUGCAACAGUUUAUGAUCGUCAGAUGUAAAAAUAUACAGUCGUAUGAUAUGCCCUCACGUUCGUUUGACGUCAAAAUGUGAAGCACACAUUUUAACGUCAAAAUGUAUUUUUAUUGAUACAUUGGUAAUAAAAAUCGUUCAAUUGAAAUUAGACAUGCAAAAUCAUUAACUUGAAUAUUUAUCGUGUCAGAGCAUAUCUAUGAUUAUUACUUAUUUAUACUUUUCUUUCAAGGAAUACAUGAUACAUGAUGUGAUUUUUUUUUCUUUUUAUUAUUUUCUAUCUGACGAAAAAUGUAGUAAUGAUGAUACAUUGUUUAUUUUUGUUUUUGUUGUAUUUCGUGUUUACGCUCUAUGUUAUCCAGGGUGACUCGUUUUUGAUUCGGGGUUUUUUAAAGCAUUGUAGCCGUUUUUUUUAUAGUUUUUGAUUUUUUCGACUUAAUGUUAAAGCCUCGAAUCACUUCUAUCAUAAAACAAUGACGAAUCAUUCUGGAGUCGCACCAGUGGCGUGCACAGGAUUUUUAACUAGGGUAUGCACUAUAGGUACAAAAUGGAAAAUUCCUAUCGCAAUAUAGGUUCGUAAUGAGUUCUCAGGGUAGGUAGGGCAUUUUUGCAUAUAUGGUGUGCACGCCACUGAGUCGCACGUAAUUGCCUUACGGUCACUGUGGACCGACCUGCAAACAUUUUGAGCUUUUAAGCCUCCCACAGACUGUUCAUAUGUAUAGUAAAGUUAUGAUUGUGAGCAAUAAAAACUAUCCUUUGAUUAUAGUAGGGGAGACAAAUUGGGGAUUUAUGCAGUUACUCGAGCACGGCAGAUGAGCAAAAGGGAGUAUACCUUGCACGUUGUUCAGUACCUCCACCAAGUAUGAGCCCCUAAUAUUGGUGGAUACGUUUAGAGCAACCAAAAAAAAAAACUUUAUAAAUACUCAACCAGCACGUCAGAUUAAGUUAAGGUAGGUGAGUUGAUAGCUAACCAGUGUGCAUUUCGAAAAUCUGACGAUUUGAGCGUAACGUAAUGGAAUGGGAGGGUUCCAAAGUUACAAAAUAGGUAAAACCCUUAUAUUUCUGUUAUCGAGACACGAGUGCGAUUAAUUUUUUACUAAUUUUGAACUAACUAAUCUUCUGAAUAAUCGCUCAUGUUUACAAAUGAUUACAGUCAGCCGAAGUAAUAAAAAAUGUCUUUAAAGUCUGUAGUUUUUUCCCCACCGCUAAAAGCGUAAAAAGUAUAUGACCAAUUAUUCUUUCUAUCAUCUAAUCUACCAAAUGUAAUCGAUUCCAAUGACUCUUUAGUAACUGCAAAUUUACUAUCCCGGGCUCCCUUAUUAUUAUUACUAUCAACAUAUUUUAAUGGCUAGAGCCAGGCCUUAGAAGAAGGGAUUUCAAACUUAGCCACCCACUUACCCACUUACCCACCUUGCUCUAAAGUGGGUUAGAGGGCAUAGGGGAUAUUAAUUUUGUAACUGCUAAACGUGCUCUCUGAGCUACGAAAUGCUGUAUUUAUCUAGAUUAUUUUAACGCUGCAUUUCAAAACAUUUAUACAGUGUAAUGUUGAUGUAAUACGUGAAUAUGUUGAAGUGUCAAGUUAAAAUAAUCUGGUGAUAUUUCAUUUUAUUAGUGCCAUUUUUGAAAACAAGUCAAAAACUUAAGUGGCGAUGGGCGGGGCUAAUAGUUUGAAGAGCCGAUGUAUGUUGGGGUCCCAAAGUAUAGGGAUGUUUUUAUCAGAUAUUAUUGCCUGUUCGCAGUAUCGUCAGGUGGAUUAUUCGUUAACCAAGCGUCAUUCGAAAGAUAACGUAAACCGAGCCCGAUUGACAUUGGUUUGUUUUACAUUGCAACUUUGUAGAGUGGUACCAAAUAUAUUUCGAAGGAAAACCAAUAAAUGUUUAACUUUCGUGGCUUUCGUAGCCGAGUUAGCGAAUACAAAUGUAGAUCUGAUAAACCUGGUUGAAUAGAAACUAGGGUUACUUACAAGAAUAGACCUAAUAAAGCAAGGCAUCGGUUAAACUAAAAUACAAAAUGGAUAAUCGUUACUUUGUGUGUUCCAGAAAUCGGACUGCUUUAGGAAACGCUCUCUAAAUUGAUUCAGGUCUAUUCCGUUAGGCUGUUAGUCAUUUAAAAAAUAACAGCCACUGAAUGUCUUUUGGCACUUAAUGGUUUUCCAUAGAAGAUUAUAAGUACGCAAUGUCUUUACGUAUCAAUCAGUGAAGGUGCAGUGUAAACCUAAAUAUGCUCUGAAUAUUUUAUCCUCUGAAAGACUAUGAGUAAACGAGUGAUUUCUACAGUAAAUGGAUUGGUAACCCACCAUACCAGAGCCCGGGGGAGUAGCGUCUGCCGUAUCAGCCGUAUCUCCUAAUCUUUCUUUCUAUAAUCUCUCUUAAUCUGGUGCUUCCCAGAGAAAAAAUCUAAAGAGAUUUUCGAGAUUAGCCGCUCGUCUAACUUAUUUUGAUACAGGGCCCCUCCAAGGCAAGCCACGCAACUGCCUGAGCCAAUCUAUUUAUUAAGAUGCCGAAUUCACAAACCAAUCAGGGGUACAAAUAAAUUUAAUAAACAUAGCACCCAUUUUAUUAUGAUUUGUAAAUCAGGUGAGAUCUUAGAAAUGUGUAUAAGAUUUUAGGGCAAAUUUCUCAACUAUAUUCUAAUUAGCUAAUUAUGUAGAUCUAAAAUUCCUUUUCUAAUUUUUUUCUUAAACUUCUACUGUAUUGCAAUAAACGAAAUAAAAGUAAAUAUUUCAAUCAGUUUUUGUGAUACUAAUGAAAAGUCUAUAUCCUAUUUUAAUAGUUAAGAAAGUUGUCCUAACCACCUAUUUAAUGUUGCUCGCUUUGAUGUACGCAAUUGUAUAUCAUUAUAAUUAUAUGUCAAUGAAAACUUUACCAUCAUCAUAGGCAGUUUAUAUUAAUUAAUGAUGCAGGAUGCUGAUUUCUUUUAACUUUUAGGAUAAAUAUGAUUUGUGAAUGAACAAUUAAUUGGGAGGAAAUGUGACUAGGUAACCCUUGCUCAAAAAGUUUGCCGGUCGGUCCGCGUUGACUGCGUUGAGGUUACGGGAACCUGCCUCACAAUAUUAUUUUACAUAAUCGAGCCUGAAAUAACGUGAUAAAAACAACAGGAAACACCAACCCAUUGAAUAGUUGUAACCGAUACUAAUGAUGGCCCUAGAUGUUUCGCUUGAAUAUGUAUAAUACUAUAUUUAUUUGUAUUGUGACAUGAUAUUGUUGGAUGCGUGGUGACUGGGUUGCGCAGGAGCUAAAAGUUUAUUUCCUAUCGAAUUGUCAGUUCGCAGGCACUGUAACAAUAAAAGGAUAGAGCUUUAUGUCACUAAGUUUUGUAUUUUAAAUCAAUAAACGAUAGCAAUGA